UCCUGGAAUCUGACAGGAACAAAUCAAUAAUCAAUGAUUGAUGCUUCAACACUUUGAUCAGAACCUGGAAUGAUUUUACUGACUAAAAUCCUCCAACUCAUCAUGACCCAGUACCAGGUUCUGGUUCUGGUUCUGAAGUCAGCAGGUCUUUAUUGGAGCAGCAGCUUGUUGGCAUUAAUAUUCAUGAGAAUCUUUAACUGGUUCUGUUGGACUGGUUAACCUGCAUCCUGUUGGUUCACAUCUUUUAUUCUUUAUUCAGGUUGAAUUGCUGCAGGUUGUCAAAGAUCAGCUGUGAUUAUUUGGCCUCAGCUCUGAAGUCCAACCCGACCCGUCUGACAGAACUGGACCUGAUUGGAAACAACCUGAAGGAAUCAGAUGUUCAGCAGCUGAAGGAUCUUGUAGAGACUUUAGAGUGGAAGAUCUGAUGAUCUCUGUAAAGUAGAGAACGUCUCUGUGUCCUGCUGAUCCUCACAGGUUGAAGCUGCAGCAGUUUGAGUCUAAAGAGACUCUGGAUCAAUGAUGACCUUUGACCUCAGAACAUUUUCUAUUUCAAAUAUUUUCCAGACGUCGAUUGUUGAAGAUUUUCAGUUUUAUUUUUCAUCUGAUCUGUUUGAUGAUCUGCAGGAACAAAGAGAGAAAAAUACUCUGAGUUUGUUAGAAAAGUUGAAUUGAGCAAAAACAUGAAGCAUAAAUUUCAUUAAAAAGCUUUAAAGAGUUUGUUAAUGGGACAAAAUGUUAUUUUAUUCUGUUGAGGUGAAAAAAGUUGAUCUAAAAUCAGACAUGAUAGCAGCUCUAUAGAUUCAGAGCCAAACAGUAAAACUUCCUCUGGAUCUGUGGCAUUAAAUCCACUUGAGAUCCAGACGUCCUGACCAGAUCCUGCAGAGAAAAGAAACAAUAUUUGAACGUGGAUCAUUUGGACUCGGCUGCUUGGACGUGUGUUUGGAUUUGAAAGGUUUUGUUGUGAAGCAGAAAGUUGAUGAAGUUCACAGUGAAGACGACUUCAGUCCACCUGAAACCUGGUUUCACUCAAACGUCUUUAUUCACUUUAAGUUUCUGAUGCAACAAGAAGGAAGAAAAGGUCAAAGGUGAACCAGAGAUCGACUCCAUGUUGCUCACAGAUGUGAUGGGAUCAGUUUGCACAGCUGUUCAAGGAGAACAGUUUUAUUUUCCUGCUUUUGUUGAUGGAUGCAAAUUUGCAUCAGAAGAUGAGAAAAUAACUUUCUGUGGUUUAUUUGUGUGGAUUUAAAGUGGAACAAGUUUAAAGAAAAACUAGAGGAGAAACCUGAGCCAGCGUUCUGACAGACCAAACACUGAGGAACCAGAGUUUGCAUCGUCAAAGUGACGAAAUCAUCUGAAUGUUGUGACUCGUUUCCCAUCAAAUCCCUGACAGGAGAAGCAAAACCUCACGUCUCCAACAUGAAGCUGCAACAGGAUGCAGAACUUCCACCGAGCGUCACGUCACUCACAGCAGAUCAGGAGCCUCGCGCUUCACCUCAACACCGCCUAAAACCUGGGACCAGGGGUUAAAGGUCAUCUCCUGCACCUAGUGCAACAUUUCACUUCUUAUGAGAGCGCGUCUCAGUUUAGAGGCCAAAAGCAGCAAGAAGCUUCAGAGUUUUCCUGCAACGUAGCUCUGGUCUGUUGGCUUCAGUGAGGCUGGUUUUACUGAAGAUGUGUUCAGGUACGCAGGAAAAUUCAGCGCUGAUACAGACGGGACGAGCGACUCCACCUCUGAUGAUGCUUGGACAAAAGUUAAUAUGUUCAUGAGAUGAAACAGUUAAUUUUCCUCACAUAUCAGGACAUUCUCCAUCGGUCAUCCUGCCGUCGUUCUGGAUUUAUUCAUUAUUUACAUCAUCAAUAGAAAUUGUUCAACCAGAUGUUUCUCUUUGUUUUAAUUUUCACUGUUAUAAAGUCAGAUCAAGUCAGCUUACAUUACUGUUGUUAAAUAAGAGUCACUGCAGGAUUUUAUUCAGUUUGAUUAGAAAUAAAACGUCUUGUAAAGAGUUUAA